AUGGCGACCGGCGCACGGGUGAGUAACGCGUAUCCAACCUGCCCUUUACUAUGGGACAGCCCGUCGAAAGGCGGAUUAAUACCGUAUGUUGUCAUGUUGAUGCAUAUUUUCAUGACCAAAGGCUUCGGCCGAUAAAGGAUGGGGAUGCGUCUGAUUAGCUUGCCGGCGGGGUAACGGCCCACCGGGGCGACGAUCAGUAGGGGUUCUGAGAGGAAGGUCCCCCACAUUGGAACUGAGACACGGUCCAAACUCCUACGGGAGGCAGCAG
rnacentral:rRNA from 1 species